CGAAUGGGGCAAGCGUUGUUCGGAAUCACUGGGCGUAAAGCGUGUGUAGGCGGUUUAACAAGUCAGAAGUGAAAUCCCAGGGCUUAACCCUGGAAUUGCUUUUGAAACUGUUAAGCUAGAGUACUGGAGAGGUUAGCAGAAUUCCGAGUGUAGAGGUGAAAUUCGCAGAUAUUCGGAGGAAUACCAGUGGCGCAAGCGGCUAACUGGACAGUAACUGACGCUGAGACACGAAAGCGUGGGGAUCAAACAGGAUUAGAUACCCUGGUAGUCCACGCUGUAAACGAUGUAUGUUAGUUGUCGGGAGGUUUACCUUUCGGCGACAAAGCUAACGCAUUAAACAUACCGCCUGGGGAGUACGGUCGCAAGAUUA
rnacentral:rRNA from 1 species